GGGCGUUUAGCUCAGUUGGUUUAGAGUAUCUGUCUGACAGACAGAGGGUCGACGGUUCGAAUCCGCCAACGCCCA
rnacentral:tRNA from 1 species